GUCAGCCUGUCCUGGCCACGCCAGGAAAUGUAAAAUUUAAAGCACAUUUACAUUUUACAGCCCUCCAAUUCCCAAUUCCCUUUUCUCUGCACGCUGACCCAACUUGGUAACGUGAGCUCGCGCCUGUGAGCACUCACCUUCCCGCCGUGACCCGGGCCCAGGGCUUCAGGGCAGGAGUUGUCAGGAGGGUGUGCAGCAGGGAAAAUGGGUGCUGAGGAGCCGAAGGACGACUUGGGAGGGAUAGGGGAGAAGGAAAAGAGGGGCCGAGCAAAGGCCUAGAGAACCGCUGGGGAAGAAACGUUGAACUUAAGAUGAACAGAGGCCAAGCUGUCUUUGAUUGACAGCAUCUCAGGCUCACAAAAGCAACUUUCAAAGAUAAUGAAAUGCCUACCUUUCAAUAGCUUGUUUUCUCCCUGUAACGCUUAUUUAAAUGUUGUUAUAACAAUUCUUUCUUUCUUUCUUUUUUUUUUUUUUGAGAUGGAGUCUCGCUCUGUCGCCCAGGCUGGAGUGCAAUGGCGCGAUCUCGGCUCACCGCGACCUCUGCCUCCCGGGUUCCAGCGAUUCUCCUGCCUCAGCCUCCCGAGUAGGUGGGAUUACAGGCACCUGCCACCAUGCCCGGCUCAUUUUUGUAUUUUUAGUAGAGUCGGGGUUUCACCAUGUUAGCCAGCCUGGUUUCGAACUCCUGACCUCAAAUGAUCUGCCUGCCUUGGCCUCCGAAAGUGCUGGGAUUACAGGUGUGAGCCACCGCGCCUGGCCUAUCACAAUUCUUGAUUGUUUAAAGUGCAAUUAUUUGGAGAAAAUAAUUUUAAAUGUUCUCUGGGAAUUUAUUGUAGAAAGCAGUUAGACUUUUACCAGUGGUCACAACUUCACUGAUGAGAAUGAUAACCCAUUAAUAAAACAGCCCUCUUCUUCUGAGACUUGAUUUUGAAUAUUCUGAUCUAGAUAGGCAGAUUCUAAAGCUACUCAACACCCCGAACCCUGUGACCACAUCUCCCAGAGCAGGGUACUGGGACUGGUUUCCGUUCCCUUGGCAUGUCCCUGAGGCAAUGCUUGAAGACACCUGUAAUUGCCACAAGACACAUUUUCCUAACCCCCAGGCUGCCAGUCAAUUGCUAGUUACCAGCUUCUGAAAACCAUACAGGGAAGGGAUUAAGAAGUGGGCUCUGGAAUUAAGCCACCUCGUUCAGUUCCUGGCCCUGCCACUCACUAAGGGAUAUUGAGCAAGUUACUUAGCUUCUGUGCCUGGAGUCUUACCCAAAACAUGCCGGUGAUAAUGACAGUGCCCGCUGUGAGGGUGAGGACCAAAGGCUCUAACACGGGGAUCCCGCUGGGCACAGUCAGGGUGAGCUGCCCUGCUAGCCUGCUGCCUAGUGUCCUGGGAGUCCAGUAAAAGCAAACCAGCACCUGCCUUGCUGCCUCUGGAGUCCCCUCUUUUCCAGAUAGAGUCCCCUUGGUAGGUGCCCUGACUCAAGGUGCCCAGGCCUCCUCCUCCUCCUCCAUAGCAGGAAGGAAGCUGGGCACCAGACCAAGAACUGGGAUGGGCCAGGCAGCAAGACUGUGGGCAGCCCAGGAAAGAGAACAAACCCACUGCCUGCCACAACAGCUGUGGGAAGGGGCUGCUGCAGAGGAUGUAGGUGGCAGGGAGGGGACCAUGCCAGGACACUCACAGAGUAAGAAGCAGCGAGCUGAUGAGUCUUAGUCCCAGGAACAAAUGAACAUUACCAGCAAUAAAAUAAUGGCUGGUUUCUGAUUCUGCUAAGUAGUAGCAUAUUAAAGAAAACUGCCAUCCUGACACCCUUCUAGAUGAGAGGAUGCUACAUUCUGACUUGGGUUUCAGCCCAGCCAGUCCUGUGAGGUGGAAGUCUCAGAACCAUCCCCAGCUCAAGAGCAAAGUCUAUACUGAGGAAGACGAAAGCCAGCGCAGAGUUUCCCCAGAAAACAGGAGCCAGAUGGUGCGAAUCCAACAGACUCCACGUGAAAUCAGCCACACCAAAGGUCAGGAGAUCUGUGUGGAGAGAAACUUUCAGAGAAGGCAACCAGGGCACAUCUCUGUUUUAAAACCAUCUCCUGGGCCGGGCACUGUGGCUCACGCCUGUAAUCCCAGCACUUUGGGAGGCUGAGAUGGGCAGAUCACUUGAGGCCAGGAGUUUGAGACCAGCCUGGCCAACAGGGUGAAACCCAAUCUCUACUAAAAAUACAAAAAUUAGCCAGGUAUGUUGCCCAUCUAUAAUUCCAGCUACUCAGGAGGCUGAGGCACGGGAAUCCCUUGAACCGGAGAGGCGGAGGUUGCAAUGAGCCGAGAUCGUGUCACUGAACUCCAGCCUGUGUGACAGAGCGAGUCUCUGUCUCAAAAAACAAAACGAAACAAAACCCACAAAAAUAAAACCAUCUCCCUACCAUGAGCCCUCCACAUUUGCAAUUCAUGAAAAUGGAAAGCUGUCAUGUCCCCACGUGAAUUUUCGGGUCUCACUAGAAAGAUAACCAUCAGGACCGGCAACAUGGGAUUCAACAACAGUUUCUGGUCUAAUUUUUUAAAAAGGACGAAAGAAGGCAGGCUGGUGUCAUGCAAUACUGCUUGCAUUAAAGUAUGUACAUUUAAACUAUGUACCUUGAACUUUUAUUGGAAAAGCGAAGCUCAGUAGUAAAAAUUUACGUUAAUCAAAUUCAUGGAGACAGAAAGUUGCAUGGGAGUUGCCAAGGGCUGGGGAAAGCAAUGCCCACUCCACCUUCAGCUCUGUGAAUUUGGGGAGUCA
rnacentral:lncRNA from 1 species